rnacentral:misc_RNA from 1 species
CUGCGAUUACCUGCUGCUUUUCUUCUCCUUUCUCUUGGUUUUGUUGUAUCAUUGCAUCUUUUCUCAGUUCCUUGAUCUGUAUUUUUGCUGCUGUGAUAUGUCGCCUCUUACUAUUUCCAAUUUCUCUUAUUUGAUUUUUUAUAUUUCUUCUUCUUCUUUUUUAGAUCUAUCGAUUUCAAACUGAAUUCAUCCAUUUCGCUUCUUAUUUUCAUCCUUAACUUUGUUUUGUAGAGGAAAUAAAGAGAAAUUAAAGAGAAAAAUUAAAGAAAAAAAGCAAAGGGAGUAAAUUUAAUUUUUUUAUAUUAUUUGAAUGAAUUAUUAGAGUAAGG